AAUGAAACGGUUGAAUGAGAAAACCACAAUCAUGGUUUCUGAUGCACCUAGGCUGCUUCAUUAUGAGUGGAAAACAAUAAGGUUUGGCUCUUUGACUAUAGGCUUCUUGAAUAGAUUUCAAAGCAUAUGUUUCAGUUUCGCCGCCUUCCUUUAAAACCUUUGAAGAGCGACAAAGGAGAGAAAUGGAUUAUGCAGAUGUGAAAGAUAAUCUCUGUGCCCAAAUUUGGGUUAGAUGCGUUAGAUCACUAUACAUCCCUAAGAUUGGAGAGAAGGUUUUCUACUUCACCCAAGGGCACAUGGAGCAGGU